AGUGAACGCUGGCGGUAGGCCUAACACAUGCAAGUCGAACGGCAGCACAGUAAGAGCUUGCUCUUACGGGUGGCGAGUGGCGGGCGGGUGAGGAAUACAUCGGAAUCUACUUUUUCGUGGGGGAUAACGUAGGGAAACUUACGCUAAUACCGCAUACGACCUACGGGUGAAAGCAGGGGAUCUUCGGACCUUGCGCGAUUGAAUGAGCCGAUGUCGGAUUAGCUAGUUGGCGGGGUAAAGGCCCACCAAGGCGACGAUCCGUAGCUGGUCUGAGGGGAUGAUCAGCCACACUGGAACUGAGACACGGUCCAGACUCCUACGGGAGGCAGCAGUGGGGAAUAUUGGACAAUGGGCGCAAGCCUGAUCCAGCCAUACCGCGUGGGUGAAGAAGGCCUUCGGGUUGUAAAGCCCUUUUGUUGGGAAAGAAAAGCAGCAGGUUAAUACCCCGCUGUUCUGACGGUACCCAAAGAAUAAGCACCGGCUAACUUCGUG
rnacentral:rRNA from 1 species